GUAUUUCGUUCGUUGAGAGGCGCCGUCGACAAAAUGUGACGGUUGAACAGUACUGGCGCGCGCACGCUACACGCGCGUUUCCGUCUAGUAAUGCCCACCUCGAUAAUUUACAAUCGCAGCGGCACCGCGGUACGUCGAAAUUUUCUACUUGACUCGAUUACUAUUUUUAUUCGGCGUUUUUAGCGCGGAUCGUUUUGUUCGAUGCGCAGUGCUGUUGUGAACGUUCGGGCGUCAAAGCAGAGCGUGUGCUUCGUAGGGCACCGGCGCCUGUAUACAUUCACAAUCGAACGUUGUACCCGCCCGAUUUGUGGAAAACGCACUUGCAAAAUACAACGCGUCAAUUGUUGGCGCCGCUCGGACCGACGGCGUUGCAGACGAGCGAAAUUCAACGGCGAAUGCGCUCUCGAUGCGUUAUGCGCGUUACGAAUUUCUACGCUUGGCAGUGUCGUCUACAAACGGUGA